UACGGAGGGGACUAGCGUUGUUCGGAAUCACUGGGCGUAAAGCGCACGUAGGCGGGUUUGUAAGUCAGGGGUGAAAUCUCGGGGCUCAACCUCGGAACUGCCUUUGAUACUGCGAGUCUUGAGUCCGAUAGAGGUGGGUGGAAUUCCUAGUGUAGAGGUGAAAUUCGUAGAUAUUAGGAAGAACACCAGUGGCGAAGGCGGCCCGCUGGAUCGGUACUGACGCUGAGGUGCGAAAGCGUGGGGAGCAAACAGG
rnacentral:rRNA from 1 species